rnacentral:rRNA from 1 species
GACGAACGCUGGCGGCGUGCUUAACACAUGCAAGUCGAACGGACAGACCCUGCUUUUGUGGGGUGCUCGAUUGGCGAACGGGUGAGUGUCACGUGAGUAACCUGCCCUUGACUUUGGGAUAACUUCAGGAAACUCCGGCUAAUACCCGAUAGGAUCUCCUGCUGCAUGGUGGGGGUUGGAAAAUUUCGGCGGUUGUGGAUCGUCUCGCGGCUUAUCAGCUUGUUGGUGUGGUAGUGGCGUACGAAGGCUUUGACGGGUAGCCGGCCUGGGAGGGUGGACGGCCACAUGGGGACUGAGAGACGGACCAGAAUGCUACGGGAGGCAGCAGUGGGGAAUAUUGCGCAAUGGGGGGGAGUCUGAUGCAGCAGCGCCGCGUUCGUGAUGACGGCCUUCGAGGGGUAAACAGAUUUCGAAGGUGACGAAGCGUGAGUGACGGUAACGGGUAAGGAAGCAACGGCUAACUACGUG